rnacentral:misc_RNA from 1 species
GAUGAAGAACGCAGCGAAAUGCGAUAAGUAGUGUGAAUUGCAGAAUUCAGUGAAUCAUCGAAUCUUUGAACGCACAUUGCGCCCUUUGGUAUUCCUUAGGGCAUGCCUGUUCGAGCGUCAUUUAAACCUUCAGGCUAAGCUUGGUGUUGGGUGACUGUCCGCUUCACGGCGGACUCGCCUCAAAAUUAUUGGCGGCCGGUACAUUGGCUUCGAGCGCAGCAGAAACGCGAACUCGGGCCCGUCGUAUUGGCUCCCAGAAGCUAUCUUCACAAUUUUGACCUCGGAUCAGGUAGGGAUACCCGCUGAACUUAAGCAUAUCAAUAAGCGGAGGA